UAAACUACGAUUAGAUACCCUAUUAUUUUAAACGUAAAUUAAAAGAGCUUGAGUAGUAAUAGUUAUGUUCUUGAAACUCAAAGAAUUUGGCGGUGUUUUAGUCCUUUCAGAGGAACCUGUCCCGUAAUCGAUAAUCCACGAAAAACCUUGCUUAAUUUGGUUUUCAGCUUGUAUACCGCCGUCGUCAGAAUGUCCUUAGAAGGUUUUAAUUUUCUUGAUUUUUAAUUAAAAAUGAUGUCAGGUCAAGGUGCAGUUUAUAAUUAAGUGGUGAUGGGUUACAAUAAAUAUAUUUAUACGGAAGAUGCUUUGAAAAAGGUGUUAGAAGGUGGAUUUGAUGGUAAUUUUAUUAAUUAAGUUAAUUUGAUUUUGGCUCUAAAACAUGCACACAUCGCCCGUCGCUCUUA
rnacentral:rRNA from 1 species